rnacentral:tRNA from 1 species
ACCGCGAUAGCCUAGCUGAUAGGGCAUCUGCCCGGUACGCGGAGGGCCGCCGGUUCGUUUCCGGCUCUCGGCA